UUCACACAUACCACUUUUUGAUUCUUUUAUAACGGAACAUUCUCAUUUAUGUUUUUCAUAGAACUCCCCUCAUCGUUAUCUUCUGAUUAUUGAAAAUAAAAUAUUAUUUUUAGGUUUAAUAAACUUUUAAAAAUCCUUUCUCAAAGUAUAAAGAAGAAAAUAUCUCUGUUACUUGAAACAGGGGAUGGUCUACUCAGAAAGCUAUUUGCCAGAGCCGGCUCUUGGGGGAGCCAAAUGAAGCUUUCGGCCUCCCAUGGCCUCCAAUUUUCACUCAGGGUUUUUAUAGUUUUAACAAUAUUUUCUGCAGGGAAGAAAGCAUAGUAUGGUUCUAUAAUUUCCGAUUAAUCUCUACUUUAUGUAGUUUUGGAUUUUUUUAAGCUACUUCCAAAUAGUAAUGUAUGAUGAAGUGAGAAGAGGGGUUUUUGCAGAGGUAUGGCUGAAGAAAUAAAGGAUGUUGAUGUGUGAAGAAGGCUCUUGCAAAGAAAUGGAUGGAUGUAAUGAUCCGACUCAAAAGGACCAUGAAUUUUCCUAGUAACUUAGUUCAUAUCCAUUUGUUUUCACUUUAUAAUUUAUAUGCAUUUUUCCUUUAACUGUCCUUUACCUAUGACAAAUUGGGUAUGCG
rnacentral:lncRNA from 1 species